CUCUGGGCAGACCAGAGUAUUCCUACCUGCAGUGAUUCAUUCAGGCCUAAAUUCUGUCCUGCAGCCCAGGUGCUGUAACACUGUGAAAGUAAAGAGAGAUGUAUGUUGCAAUUUUAUCCGAGGAAACAAAGACUAAGCACAAGUAACCUGACAGCGAGUACAAAGAAUGUUAGAGAGAAAACUGAGUGGAAGUGCUGAGGGAAGGCUUCUGGAAGAUAUAAGACCAACUGAAUGGAACACAGGACAUAGGGCCAAGAAAACACACGUAUUUGACUACUUUCUGGAGAAGCCUCCUAGAGAAUCCUCAAGAAUCCACUAAAUGGAGGUGAGGGCUGCUUCAGGUGUCAAGCAGGUGAUGGUCUAUGUCAGACUCUCCAGCCCAGUCAAGCUGCCAGCCGAGUCUCACUAAGUGACCCUACUCAGUGUUUUGCAGCGCUACCCAGUAUAGCCCUGCCCAAAAUGAUGAUCUACAGAUUUAUGAGAUAUAAUAAAGUGCUUGCUCUUUCAAGUCAUUAAAUUUUGGAUAAUUGUUAUGCAAUAAUAAAUCAAUGGAAUAGACACCUACAAGUAACACAGCUGCUUUACUUAAAUAAAU